AAUAUUGCACAAUGGGGGAAACCCUGAUGCAGCGACGCCGCGUGAGUGAAGAAGUAUUUCGGUAUGUAAAGCCCUAUCAGCAGGGAAGAAAAUGACGGUACCUGAGUAAGAAGCCCCGGCUAACUACGUGCCAGCAGCCGCGGUAAUACGUAGGGGGCAAGCGUUAUCCGGAUUUACUGGGUGUAAAGGGAGCGUAGACGGCUGUGCAAGUCUGAAGUGAAAGGCAUGGGCUUAACCCGUGGACUGCUUUGGAAACUGUGUAGCUGGAGUGCAGGAGAGGUAAGUGGAAUUCCUAGUGUAGCGGUGAAAUGCGUAGAGAUCGGGAGGAACACCAGUGGCGAAGGCGGGUAACUGGACUGUAACUGACACUGAGGCUCGAAAGCGUGGGGAGCAAA
rnacentral:rRNA from 1 species